CUCAUCUAUUUCUCUUCGUCCAUGGUGAUUUUUUUCUCCUCUUUCCACUCCUACACCUCUUCCUCUUCCCCCUUUCUUUCCUAUUCAUCCUUCUUUCCUUCUCUAUAGCUCCUCUCUCCACCUUCACUGCCUCUCCUUCCUCCUCCUCCUCCUUCCUCCUCUCUUAUUGAUCCCCUCUUCCUCCGUCGCUAGCAUCUCUCUUUCUUCCUCCUCAUUCCUCCUUACCCAUUUCUCCUCCUCUAUGAGAGCUCUCUCCACCUCCGUCCAUUCCUCUACCACCUCCUCCUCCUCCCUCCUUCUUUCUGAUUGAUCCCCUCCGAUCCUUCCUUCCUCCUCCUCUUCUAAGCCAUCCCUCUCCAUGGUAGCCCCCACUCCUCCUCCUUCUCAUCCUCCUCCUCCCUCCUUUCUCCUUUCUGAUUGAUCCCCUCCUUCCUUU
rnacentral:lncRNA from 1 species